rnacentral:rRNA from 1 species
GAGGAAUGUAUAGCAAUAGCUAGUUGCAUCAUUGUAAAUAUGAUGUAAGAUUGACUAUGUUGAAUAAAAUUCUAGGUAGAGUUAUGAUAAUGACAUUUUCUGCCUAUGUGUCUUGACCAAAUUACGUGCCAGCAGUCGCGGUAAUACGUAGAAGACUAGUGUUAUUCAUGUUUAAUCGGUUUAAAGGGUACCUAGACGGCAGAUCAAGCUUUCCGAGAAGAAAAAAAAAUAAGAAAACAAARUAGAAAUAAAAAGGACUAAUUUGCUAGAGUUACUUACGAGGGGGUUUUAAAGUACUACUGGUGUAGAGAUGAAAUUCUGUCAUACCUCUUUUCGAAAGAAAAAUAAUGGCACAGGUAUAGGCGAAGGCAUCCCCUUAUGUGAUAACUGACGUUGAGGGACGAAGGCUUUAUAUAACGAACAGGAUUAGAUACCCUAGUAGUGGAAGCAGUAAAUGAUGAAUGUCAUAGAUUAGAUUAGAUUAAUUUAUUCUAUAAAUGAAAGUGUAAGCAUUCCACCUCAUGAGUAAUUUGGCAACAUUGGAAUUGAAAUCAUUAGACCGUUUCUGAAACCAGUAGUGAAGUAUGUUGUUUAAUUUGAUGAUCCGCAAAAAACCUUACCACAAUUUGAAUAUUUAUAUUAUGCUUAUUGUAUUUUUAUUAAUUUUCUUUAAGCAUCUAAGCAUAGAGGAAAUUAAUAAAGAGGCAAUAAGGUAUAUUUACAAGCGUUGCACGGCUGUCUUCAGUUAAUGUCGCGAGAUUUUGGUUAGAUCCAUUAAAUUAACGUAAACCCUUACUUUAUUUUUAGAUAGAGUUGUUCCCCACUAUAUUGGAUUAGAU